GGACGAACGCCGGCGACGUCUUUCACACAAGUCAAGUCGAAACGAAUGAAGCUUCGUCCCCUACGGCGGUUACGCGGCGAAACGGGCGAGUCAUCACGUGAGUCGACCUCCCUUUCGACUUUGGGAUAAGCCCGGGAAAACUGGGUUCUAAUACCGGAUACGACCAAUUUCCGCACGGGGUCGUUCGGUGGAAAGCGUUAUGGAGUGGUUUUAGAUGGGCUCACGGCCUAUCAGCUUCGUUGGUGAGGUAAUGGCUUACCAAGGCGACGACAGGUAGCCGGCCUGAGAGGGUGACCGGCCACACUGGGACUGAGACACGGCCCAGACUCCUACGGGAGGCAGCAGUGGGGAAUAUUGCACAAUGGGCGCAAGCCUGAUGCAGCGACCCUCCCUGAGGGAUGACGGCCUUCGGGUUUGUAAACCUCUGUUAGCAUCGAAGAAAGCGAAAGUUGACGGUAGGUGCAGAGAAAGCGCCGGCUAACUACGUGCCAGCAGCCGCGGUAAUACGUAGGGCGCGAGCGUUGUCCGGAAUUUAUUGGGCGUAAAGAGCUUGUAGGCGGUUGGUCGCGUCCUGCCUGUGAAAGGCUGGGGCUUAACCCUGGUUUUGCAGUGGGUACGGGCUAACUAGAGUGCAGUAGGGGAGACUGGAAUUCCUGGUGUAGCGGUGGAAUGCGCAGAUAUCAGGAGGAACACCGAUGGCGAAGGCAGGUCUCUGGGCUGUAACUGACGCUGAGAAGCGAAAGCAUGGGGAGCGAACAGGAUUAGAUACCCUGGUAGUCCAUGCCGUAAACGUUGGGCACUAGGUGUGGGGGACAUUCCACGUUUUCCGCGCCGUAGCUAACGCAUUAAGUGCCCCGCCUGGGGAGUACGGCCGCAAGGCUAAAACUCAAAGAAAUUGACGGGGGCCCGCACAAGCGGCGGAGCAUGCGGAUUAAUUCGAUGCAACGCGAAGAACCUUACCAAGGCUUGACAUAUACUGGACUGCGUCAGAGAUGGCGUUUCCCUUCGGGGCUGGUAUACAGGUGGUGCAUGGUUGUCGUCAGCUCGUGUCGUGAGAUGUUGGGUUAAGUCCCGCAACGAGCGCAACCCUCGUUCUAUGUUGCCAGCACGUGAUGGUGGGGACUCAUAGGAGACUGCCGGGGUCAACUCGGAGGAAGGUGGGGAUGACGUCAAAUCAUCAUGCCCCUUAUGUCUUGGGCUUCACGCAUGCUACAAUGGCCGGUACAGAGGGUUGCGAUACUGUGAGGUGGAGCUAAUCCCUAAAAGCCGGUCUCAGUUCGGAUUGGGGUUCUGCAAACUCGACCCCAUGAAGUCGGAGUCGCUAGUGAAUCGCAGAUCGGCAACGCUGCGGUAAAUACGUUUCCCGGACU
rnacentral:rRNA from 1 species